GUGACAGUACAUGUACUAAAAUCGGAACGAUACAGAGAAGAUUAGCGUGGCCCUGAGCAAGGAUGACACGCAGAUUCGAGAAGCGUUCCACAUUUUC
rnacentral:snRNA from 2 species